rnacentral:rRNA from 1 species
UUUUUCAAUUAAAGGUGACCUCUUCUUGAAAGUUACUGUUUAGGGAUGGGCUUGCGGACCAUUAGCUUGUUGGUGAGGUAACGGCUCACCAAGGCUGCGAUGGUUAGCCGACCUGAGAGGGUGAUCGGCCACAUUGGGACUGAGAUACGGCCCAGACUCCUACGGGAGGCAGCAGUAGGGAAUUUUGCGCAAUGGACGAAAGUCUGACGCAGCAACGCCGCGUGAGGGAUGAAGGCCUUCGGGUUGUAAACCUCUGUUGAGUGAGAAGAAAAGCAUGCGGGAUAAUACUCCGCGUGUCUGACGGUAUCACUCGAGGAAGCCCCGGCUAACUACGUGCCAGCAGCCGCGGUAAUACGUAGGGGGCAAGCGUUGUUCGGAAUUACUGGGUGUAAAGGGAGCGUAGGUGGAAAGGUAAGUUAGGAGUGAAAGAUACGGGCUUAACCCGUAGUCCGCUUUUAAUACUGUCUUUCUUGAGUAUGGGAGAGGAUGACGGAAUUCCUGGUGUAGCGGUGGAAUGCGUAGAUAUCAGGAAGAACACCGGUUGCGAAGGCGGUCAUCUGGCCCAAUACUGGCGCUGAGGCUCGAAAGCUGGGGGAGCGAACAGGAUUAGAUACCCUGGUAGUCCCAGCCGUAAACGAUGGACACUAGAUGCUGGAAGAGUCAAUCCUUUCAGUGUCGUAGCUAACGCGUUAAGUGUCCCGCCUGGGGAGUACGCUCGCAAGGGUGAAACUCAAAGGAAUUGACGGGGGCCCGCACAAGCGGUGGAGCAUGUGCUUUAAUUCGAUGCAACGCGAAGAACCUUACCUGGGUUUGACAUGGGGGUGAACGUUCCCAGAGAUGGGAGCCUUUCCUUCGGGAACACCCCACACAGGUGCUGCGUGGUUGUCGUCAGCUCGUGUCGUGAGAUGUUGGGUUAAGUCCCGCAACGAGCGCAACCCCUGUCCUUAGUUGCCAGCGGAUAAUGCCGGGAACUCUAAGGAGACUGCCUGGUAUAACCAGGAGCAAGGUGGGGAUGACGUCAAAUCAUCAUGGCCCUUACGUCCAGGGCAAGACACGUGCUACAAUGGCCGGUACAACGGGAUGCGAACUCGCGAG